rnacentral:rRNA from 1 species
UAAGGAAUAUUGGACAAUGGACGCAAGUCUGAUCCAGCCAUGCCGCGUGAAGGAUGAAUGCCCUCUGGGUUGUAAACUUCUUUUAUAGGGGAAGAAAGAUACUUUUUUUAAGGUAGUUGACGGCACCCUAUGAAUAAGCACCGGCUAACUCCGUGCCAGCAGCCGCGGUAAUACGGAGGGUGCAAGCGUUAUCCGGAUUUACUGGGUUUAAAGGGUGCGUAGGCGGGCAUGUAAGUCAGUGGUGAAAUACCGGAGCUUAACUUCGGAACUGCCAUUGAUACUAUAUGUCUUGAAUAUUGUGGAGGUAAGCGGAAUAUGUCAUGUAGCGGUGAAAUGCAUAGAUAUGACAUAGAACACCGAUUGCGGAGGCAGCUUGCUACGCAAAUAUUGACGCUGAGGCACGAAAGCGUGGGGAU